AUGCUACUCUCAUAGAAACCAUCGUGGGGAAAAAUAACGGAACUUUGGGAGUUCAGAAACUAAGAAACAGUAGAAGCUGUAAAAGGAGGAGCAGAAGAAAGUUGAACUUGGGGUGGAUUACAGUGGCACAAUCUCGGCUCACUAUAGCCUCGACCUCCCGGGCUCACGUAAUCUCACUUCAGCCUCCUGAAUAGCUGGGACUAUAGGCAUGCACCACCAUACCUGGCUAAUUUUUUAAUUUUUUGUUGAAACGGGGUCUCGCCAUGUUUCCCAGACUGGACUUGAACUGGGCUCAGGGGAUCCUCCCAUCUUGUUCUCCCAAAGUGUUGGGAUUACAGGCGUGAGCCACUGUGCUCUACCUUGUAGGCAGGCUGGAGUGCAGUGGUGCAAUCUUGGCUCACUGCAACUCUGCCUCCCAGGCUUAAGUGAUCCUCCCACCUCAGCCUCCUCAAUAGCUGGGAUAUACAGGCUUGUGCCACCACUCACUCAGCUAAUUUUUUAAAAAACUUUUUGU
rnacentral:lncRNA from 10 species